CCUACGGGGGGCUGCAGUGGGGAAUAUUGGACAAUGGGGGGAACCCUGAUCCAGCCAUGCCGCGUGUGUGAAGAAGGCCCUCGGGUUGUAAAGCACUUUCAGUGAGGAAGAACGCCUGGUGGUUAAUACCCAUCAGGAAAGACAUCACUCACAGAAGAAGCACCGGCUAACUCCGUGCCAGCAGCCGCGGUAAUACGGAGGGUGCGAGCGUUAAUCGGAAUUACUGGGCGUAAAGCGCGCGUAGGUGGCUUGAUAAGCCGGUUGUGAAAGCCCUGGGCUCAACCUGGGAACGGCAUCCGGAACUGUCAAGCUAGAGUGCAGGAGAGGAAGGUAGAAUUCCCGGUGUAGCGGUGAAAUGCGUAGAGAUCGGGAGGAAUACCAGUGGCGAAGGCGGCCUUCUGGACUGACACUGACACUGAGGUGCGAAAGCGUGGGUAGCAAACAGGAUUAGAUACCCCUGUAGUC
rnacentral:rRNA from 1 species